UACGGAGGGGGUUAGCGUUGUUCGGAAUUACUGGGCGUAAAGCGCGCGUAGGCGGAUUGGAAAGUUGGGGGUGAAAUCCCGGGGCUCAACCCCGGAACUGCCUUCGAUACUGGAUGUCUGGAGUUCGAGAGAGGUGAGUGGAAUUCCGAGUGUAGAGGUGAAAUUCGUAGAUAUUCGGAGGAACACCAGUGGCGAAGGCGGCUCACUGGCUCGAUACUGACGCUGAGGUGCGAAAGCGUGGGGAGCAAACAGG
rnacentral:misc_RNA from 1 species